rnacentral:rRNA from 1 species
UGUGUUGUUGGGUAGGGGAGCGUUCUGUAAGCCUGUGAAGGUGUGUCGUGAGGCAUGCUGGAGGUAUCAGAAGUGCGAAUGCUGACAUAAGUAACGAUAAAGCGGGUGAAAAGCCCGCUCGCCGGAAGACCAAGGGUUCCUGUCCAACGUUAAUCGGGGCAGGGUGAGUCGACCCCUAAGGCGAGGCCGAAAGGCGUAGUCGAUGGGAAACAGGUUAAUAUUCCUGUACUUGGUGUUACUGCGAAGGGGGGACGGAGAAGGCUAUGUUGGCCGGGCGACGGUUGUCCCGGUUUAAGCGUGUAGGCUGGUUUUCCAGGCAAAUCCGGAAAAUCAAGGCUGAGGCGUGAUGACGAGGCACUACGGUGCUGAAGCAACAAAUGCCCUGCUUCCAGGAAAAGCCUCUAAGCAUCAGGUAACAUCAAAUCGUACCCCAAACCGACACAGGUGGUCAGGUAGAGAAUACCAAGGCGCUUGAGAGAACUCGGGUGAAGGAACUAGGCAAAAUGGUGCCGUAACUUCGGGAGAAGGCACGCUGACACGUAGGUGAAGUGAUUUACUCACGGAGCUGAAGUCAGUCGAAGAUACCAGCUGGCUGCAACUGUUUAUUAAAAACACAGCACUGUGCAAACACGAAAGUGGACGUAUACGGUGUGACGCCUGCCCGGUGCCGGAAGGUUAAUUGAUGGGGUCAGCGCAAGCGAAGCUCCUGAUCGAAGCCCCGGUAAACGGCGGCCGUAACUAUAACGGUCCUAAGGUAGCGAAAUUCCUUGUCGGGUAAGUUCCGACCUGCACGAAUGGCGUAAUGAUGGCCAGGCUGUCUCCACCCGAGACUCAGUGAAAUUGAACUCGCUGUGAAGAUGCAGUGUACCCGCGGCAAGACGGAAAGACCCCGUGAACCUUUACUAUAGCUUGACACUGAACAUUGAGCCUUGAUGUGUAGGAUAGGUGGGAGGCUUUGAAGUGUGGACGCCAGUCUGCAUGGAGCCGACCUUGAAAUACCACCCUUUAAUGUUUGAUGUUCUAACGUGGACCCGUAAUCCGGGUUGCGGACAGUGUCUGGUGGGUAGUUUGACUGGGGCGGUCUCCUCCUAAAGAGUAACGGAGGAGCACGAAGGUUGGCUAAUCCUGGUCGGACAUCAGGAGGUUAGUGCAAUGGCAUAAGCCAGCUUGACUGCGAGCGUGACGGCGCGAGCAGGUGCGAAAGCAGGUCAUAGUGAUCCGGUGGUUCUGAAUGGAAGGGCCAUCGCUCAACGGAUAAAAGGUACUCCGGGGAUAACAGGCUGAUACCGCCCAAGAGUUCAUAUCGACGGCGGUGUUUGGCACCUCGAUGUCGGCUCAUCACAUCCUGGGGCUGAAGUAGGUCCCAAGGGUAUGGCUGUUCGCCAUUUAAAGUGGUACGCGAGCUGGGUUUAGAACGUCGUGAGACAGUUCGGUCCCUAUCUGCCGUGGGCGCUGGAGAACUGAGGGGGGCUGCUCCUAGUACGAGAGGACCGGAGUGGACGCAUCACUGGUGUUCGGGUUGUCAUGCCAAUGGCACUGCCCGGUAGCUAAAUGCGGAAGAGAUAAGUGCUGAAAGCAUCUAAGCACGAAACUUGCCCCGA